rnacentral:rRNA from 1 species
UACGGAGGGUGCAAGCGUUAUCCGGAUUCACUGGGUUUAAAGGGUGCGUAGGCGGACAGGUAAGUCAGUGGUGAAAUCUCUGGGCUUAACCCAGAAACUACCGUUGAUACUAUUUGUCUUGAAUAUCCUGGAGGUAGGCGGAAUAUGUCAUGUACCGGUGAAAUGCUUAGAUAUGACAUAGAACACCGAUAGCGAAGGCAGCUUACUACAGGAUGAUUGACGCUGAGGCACGAAAGCGUGGGGAGCAAACAGG